rnacentral:rRNA from 1 species
CGUGAGCAAUCUGCCUUGGAGUGGGGAAUAACGGUUGGAAACAGCCGCUAAUACCGCAUGAUGCGUCUGGGAGGCAUCUCUCUGGACGCCAAAGAUUUAUCGCUCUGAGAUGAGCUCGCGUCUGAUUAGCUUGUUGGCGGGGUAAAGGCCCACCAAGGCGACGAUCAGUAGCCGGACUGAGAGGUUGGCCGGCCACAUUGGGACUGAGACACGGCCCAGACUCCUACGGAAGGCAGCAG